rnacentral:rRNA from 1 species
CCCCUAAGUAGGGGAUAACUCUGAGAAAUCGGAGCUAAUACCUUAUGUGGUCUUUCGCCGCAAGGUGAAGGACUAAAGCUUUCGGGCGCUUGGGGAGGGGCUUGCGUCCUAUCAGCUUGUUGGUAGGGUAACGGCUUACCAAGGCGACGACGGGUAGCUGGUCUGAGAGGAUGUCCAGCCACAUGGGGACUGAGACACGGUCCUGACUCCUACGGGAGGCAGCAGCAAGGAAUAUUGUGCAAUGGGCGAAAGCCUGACACAGCGACGCCGCGUGGGGGAAGAAGGCUUUCGGGUUGUAAACCCCUUUUCUCAGGGAAGAAUAAUGACGGUACCUGAGGAAUAAGUCUUGGCUAACUACGUGCCAGCAGCCGCGGUAAUACGUAGGAGGCAAGCGUUAUCCGGAUUUACUGGGCGUAAAGAGUGCGUAGGCGGUUUGGUAAGUCGGAUGUGAAAUCUCCCGGCUUAACCGGGAGGAGUCAUCCGAUACUGUUGAACUAGAGUGCAGCAGGGGGAAGUGGAAUUCCCGGUGUAGUGGUGAUAUGCGUAGAUAUCGGGAGGAACACCAGUGGCGAAGGCGGCUUCCUGGGCUGUUUCUGACGCUGAGGCUCGAAAGUGUGGGGAGCGAACAGGAUUAGAUACCCUGGUAGUCCACACUGUAAACGAUGGACACUAGGUAUGGGGAGUAUCGACCCUCUCUGUGCCGCAGUUAACGCUUUAAGU